CUAAUUCUUCUUCCGUACUCUUCUCUUCUCCCUUCUCUGGCGAUUCAAGAAGACCAGAUGCGAUUCCUCUUUAGAUCUGCGAUUCCUCUUCUUCAGCCGGGAUCCACGAAGUAGUAAUUAGGGCUAUCUCUUCUUUAACUCCAUUGUGAUUAUGAACUGACUUCAGCAGAUCAGCCAAUGUUCAUCCUUUGUUUGAUAUUGAAGACAAUCUCUUCUUUAACUCCAUUUGCUGGAAGCGGAUCCUAUCUUAGUUUAAAGUGGGCUGAACGGGCUUGAAUUGCUGUUAACAAGAUUCUAGGUAACGUGUCGUUCGGAGGGGAUAGCUAAUGGGUCAAAAUGGAUAGAGUUUAAAGCAGAAAGUAUGGUGAUGAUUGGCUCUAAGAAACUUCAGAAACUGAUGGUGAUGAUGCACAUAUGCAUGGAACAGAUGAGGUUUGGCAUGAAGAUGCGUCACAGGGAGCCAUUGAAGAUUAGCCUGACGUGACUUCCGACCUGCUAUGAAGGCCGCACAUGGGCGUUGUUGGGAGGGUCAACAGGUUUCACCCACCUGACGAUGAUAAUGCUAUAUGGCUCUAGUGGCAGCCGGAACGAGUAUUUGAGAUUUAAUCAUCAUCACUUAUUUUGUCAUCCAUUGUAUUUUGGAUUCAUCAACAAACUUCGAUCACAAAUCUAUGAAACUUGCUGACUUUGAUUUGGCAAGAGAAGAAUUAUUAACAGAGAUGAUGACUGCAGAAACCGGAACUUACCGCUGGAUGGCUCCAGAGCUUUACAGUACAGUAACACUGAGGCAGGGAUCGAAGACGCAUUAUACACAAUAAGAUGCCGUUCGAGGGCAUGUCGAAUCUUCAACCAGAUUGGUCCGCCAUCUUUUCUAACAGUUUUGGGUGACUUUUAUGUGUGUGUAUGGUACGUGAACGUGAGUGAUGAUGAAGUGCACAUUUCUAGAUGUUUUGAAAAUUGAAACUAUACAAAUAAUGGAUGAAUUACUAAGAGAUGAAAACCAGAAUAGGGUUCUAUCUAUGGUGAAACCACUGUUGGGUUAACAGUGGUUGAAACCACUGUUGGGUUAAAACAUGGUUGAAACUACUGUUGAGUUACAACAGUGGUUGAAACUAUUUUAAAGCGAAGAGACUUCAGCGGAUGAAAUCCGGCACUGUGAACGAUGCUGCAUUUGUGUUUAACCUAAUGAUUCGAAGUGGAGGAGAUGCAUUAAGAGGUUCUGCAUCUUCGAGUGAUGGGUUAUUCAGCAAUCUGGAUUCAUGUGGGCGAGAUAAUACGUCAAAACCCACAGUUGAAAAGUUUGAUUUAAACGAUCUUGAUUGGACAGAUAAGGUUCCAGAGUGCCCUAUAUACUUUCCAUGUAAAGAAGAGUUUGAGGAUCCUUUGGUUUAUCUCCAAAAUAUAGCUUCAGAAGCUUCAAGAUUUGGUAUAUGCAAGAUUGUUUCGCCUUUGAGUGCUUCAGUUUCUACUGGUACAGUUUUGACAAGAGAGAAAGUUGGUUUUAAGUUUACUACACGAGUGCAGCCUCUUCGUCUUGCUGAGUGGAAUACUGAUGACAAUAGAGAAAGUUAAGUUUUGUUUGAAAUAUUAAUUAUUUAUAUAGUUAUGUAUUAUAUAUUUUAUAUUCCAAAAUUUUAACUUCCUUAUGCAGUAUGCAGGGUCUUGCAGGUGGCGAGUCAAGUGAGUUAGGUAAUGAGUUCAAGCUCUAAUGGAUUUUUUGUUAUGGAUCGUGACGGUCCAGGCGCAAUCACUAUUUUGUUCAUUUCCAAAAGUUUUUUUAAAUAAUUAAUGCGUGAUGGGUAACUUGAGCCAUAUCUCAGCUAACUUAAUAUAAUAUACAUACACAUGUGUUUUAAGUUGAGAGUCGUAUCUCACUUAUAGAGAACAACAUGGCUGAAAAUAUUCUACAUGUGCAUACUGACUGGAAGUUUUGUGGGUUAUAUUUAUUGUGGAUUUGUUUUUGACUUUGUUAUCAAAUAGAUAGAAUGGGUGUCCUUUCUUUGGGAUUUUGAAGGAUCCAAGUAAUCCUGAACGGGUGCUCUAUUUAUCAUAAUCUUUCAUUGGGUAAAUAGAUAAUCGCUAUGGCCGACUGAAAGAGAUAAUCAAGAUCUGCAGAUGAUUGAUAACAGUUCCAUUCUCAUCGUUCUUCAUUUUCAUUUGGUUAUCCAGAUUUUCUUUUCCUAAUUUGUUAAGUCUAUUACGUUUUCCUAACUUUAUUUGUAAUUAUAAAAUUAGGAAACAAUAUCCCAGUAC
rnacentral:lncRNA from 1 species